rnacentral:lncRNA from 1 species
AAGUGUGUAUGAACACAUGGUAGCCUACCUUCUGGGGAACUAAAUAUAAAUGAGUAGCCAGCUCUCAUCUCCACAAGGAAGAUCUGUAUGUGCGUGGCUUGUAUGUGUGGUGAUUAUUAUUGUCUGUGGGAAAUACCGAGUUCCGAUAUAUGUCUGGCUUCCCUCGUGUAAUCCUUUUUAAAUUUAUAUUAAAGACAAUCCUUAGAAGCAGUUGCCAUGGGCAUCCUCAGAAGGCACAGAGCUCUUCUUUUGUCUGGAGGUGGCAAGACUCUUCCAGUUUAGUCGUAGAUAAUAUUUUCAGCACUGCUCUCAGUUCUUUGGGCAAAAUGAAGACAGUGCGAGAGUAGAGCCAAGGCAGAGGUUAGACCAUCUGCAACAUGGCCUACCACGCUGGACACAAGGAUGGUGAUGUAGGGUGAUAGCCUUGGCUGUCUCCCUUACUGCCAUGACCCAGUCCCUCCAAACCUCAUCCGCUCCAUCCACCACUGCUUCCCUUCUCUCUUCAACCACAAGUGACAGUAGUGUCUGCCAAUUUUCAGAGACUCACAUUUCCUGUGGUUUACUGCCUUAGUCAGCUGAAUUAGUAGUACAACUCUAGCGUAUUUACAUUAGUUCUCUCGCCACUAGCUACUAGAUCACGUUCACGGAAGCCUUCUUCUGUCUGUGAUUGAAUCUGAAAGGUGUACAUGGGCGGUUCUGCUUGAGAACCUGUGCCUUCCCCGUAGAGGAUGAAAGAUGAGCAAACCGCAGGCAAGCAUCUUUAGGUCUGUGCUGAGAGACUGCUAAAAAUAUCCUUUCCGGAGAUUGGCUCAGGUUAGAGAGUUGACACCGAUAUUUUACGUUUCAGUCAGGCGAGUCUUUCCCUUCCUUUCACGUUAGUGAGUUAAGGUCUCCUGUCUAACAUUUGCCUGCAGAGCUGUAAG